rnacentral:rRNA from 1 species
GACGAACGCUGGCGGCGUGCUUAACACAUGCAAGUCGAACGGUGAAAGCGGAGCUUGCUCCGCUGGAUCAGUGGCGAACGGGUGAGUAACACGUGGGCAACCUGCCCCUCACUUCGGGAUAACUCCGGGAAACCGGGGCUAAUACCGGAUAUGACCUCCUUGGGCAUCCUUGGAGGUGGAAAGUUUUUCGGUGAGGGAUGGGCCCGCGGCCUAUCAGCUUGUUGGUGAGGUAGUGGCUCACCAAGGCGACGACGGGUAGCCGGCCUGAGAGGGCGACCGGCCACACUGGGACUGAGACACGGCCCAGACUCCGACGGGAGGCGGCAGUGGGGAAUAUUGCGCAAUGGGCGAAAGCCUGACGCAGCGACGCCGCGUGAGGGAUGACGGCCUUCGGGUUGUAAACCUCUUUCAGCACCGACGAAGCGCAAGUGACGGUAGGUGCAGAAGAAGGACCGGCCAACUACGUGCCAGCAGCCGCGGUAA